CCUCACCCAAUCUCACCGUGCCCUAAUCUCACGCCGACCACUCCAUUUCCCUUCCUCCCUCUUGCUCCUUGUCGCCGAGAUCUCACCGCCGCCCCUCACUCUCCUUAUUCUCAUCCGCCACCUCCUCUCCUUCGAUCACCAGAGCUGGAUCUGCCGCCAAGCUCCCGGAGUUGCCCUACCUUGCACGGGCUGCCUUCAACCAAGAGCAGGAGGUGCCUUCCUCUUAUGUGCGGCACAGUCUUGCGUGACCUAGCAUCGUCGAAGCCGUCAACCAUCAGCAGCCCGUGGUCGGCGUAGACGCACACCGAGCGUCGAACCUACCUCUUCCCCGACGCCUCUCACUUCUCCGAUGCCACAAUCCCGAGUUCGCCGGCACUGAUCUUCUCACCGUUGGCUGGACUUGCCAUCUCCACGGAUCGUCGGACGUUUGCUACGGUUGUCCUUCUCUCUGAGUUGCAGCCCAUGCCUGGCCAUCCGCACCGCCAGAUCGCCGAUUCUCUGUCGCCUCGAAGGGCACCUGAUGCCGCCGUCGUUUUCCCUCUCCGGCCACGAGCAGGAGGCAGUGGGGUUGUGCCCGUGAGCCGAUUUCCCCUCUCCCACACCACGUGAUGCCAUCACCGACGCUGUGCCCUGGUUGUGCUUGCCACAGUGCUGAUCAUCGAUCAUCGAUGUCAACAUUCCAGGCGGACUAGUCGUCACUAGUGAGGCUCUUCCACCACCGUGGGUCGUCGUCUGCCCUAAUGUGAGCUUGACCUUGCCUUGUUGCCCUAAUUGGUUCUCUGGUGGACAUGGAGCAGCUCCAUCAGAUCAUUGGUGAGGUUGCUGGAGAUGUUUCUGUGUGUAAUAUGAUCAGGGAUUGUAUUAGUUGAGAUUGUUCUUGGGUCAGAUCUGAAAUUGUUGGAGGAAGCUAAGGUAGCAGGUAAAGGAUUUAAGGAGUCGCUUGGAGAUCCUUUCCGCCAAUUCCACGUCACAUUCGAGGACGAUACUAUGAUUUUGGUUUUCAUUUUAUUGUGAGUUAAACCUUUGAAUUUAGCAUUGUAAUAAUUGGGCUGUGGACUUGUUAUUUUGUAUUUGGUUGUUUUGUCGAGGAGUCAAGCCGGGCCGGCCCGCGGGUUUGGGACCAGGCAGUGACAGGAUUCUCCAAGCUAUAGGAGUACUGUUGCAAGACUUUACUACACUUUACCUUACUACUAGCCUAGGAUAUGGUUUCAGGUAGCAGGUAAAGGAUUUAAGGAGUCGCUUGGAGAUCCUGUCCGCCAGUUCC